rnacentral:rRNA from 1 species
GACGAACGCUGGCGGCGUGCCUAACACAUGCAAGUCGAACGGAGUUAAGCCCUUCGGGACUUAACUUAGUGGCGAACGGGUGAGUAACGCGUGAGGAACCUGCCUUUCAGUGGGGGACAACAGUUGGAAACGACUGCUAAUACCGCAUAAUACUUUUCGGGGGCAUCCCUGAAAAGUCAAAGAUUUAUUGCUGAAAGAUGGCCUCGCGUCUGAUUAGCUAGUUGGCGGGGUAACGGCCCACCAAGGCGACGAUCAGUAGCCGGUCUGAGAGGAUGAACGGCCACAUUGGGACUGAGACACGGCCCAAACUCCUACGGGAGGCAGCAGUGGGGAAUAUUGCACAAUGGGGGAAACCCUGAUGCAGCGACGCCGCGUGAACGAUGAAGUAUUUCGGAUGUAAAGUUCUAUCAGCAGGGAAGAUAAUGACGGUACCUGACUAAGAAGCACCGGCUAAANACGUG